UGCAAGUCGAGCGAACUGAUUAGAAGCUUGCUUCUAUGACGUUAGCGGCGGACGGGUGAGUAACACGUGGGCAACCUGCCUGUAAGACUGGGAUAACUUCGGGAAACCGAAGCUAAUACCGGAUAGGAUCUUCUCCUUCAUGGGAGAUGAUUGAAAGAUGGUUUCGGCUAUCACUUACAGAUGGGCCCGCGGUGCAUUAGCUAGUUGGUGAGGUAACGGCUCACCAAGGCAACGAUGCAUAGCCGACCUGAGAGGGUGAUCGGCCACACUGGGACUGAGACACGGCCCAGACUCCUACGGGAGGCAGCAGUAGGGAAUCUUCCGCAAUGGACGAAAGUCUGACGGAGCAACGCCGCGUGAGUGAUGAAGGCUUUCGGGUCGUAAAACUCUGUUGUUAGGGAAGAACAAGUACAAGAGUAACUGCUUGUACCUUGACGGUACCUAACCAGAAAGCCACGGCUAACUACGUGCCAGCAGCCGCGGUAAUACGUAGGUGGCAAGCGUUAUCCGGAAUUAUUGGGCGUAAAGCGCGCGCAGGCGGUUUCUUAAGUCUGAUGUGAAAGCCCACGGCUCAACCGUGGAGGGUCAUUGGAAACUGGGGAACUUGAGUGCAGAAGAGAAAAGCGGAAUUCCACGUGUAGCGGUGAAAUGCGUAGAGAUGUGGAGGAACACCAGUGGCGAAGGCGGCUUUUUGGUCUGUAACUGACGCUGAGGCGCGAAAGCGUGGGGGAGCAAACAGGAUUAGAUACCCUGGUAGUCCACGCCGUAACGAUGAGUGCUAAGUGUUAGAGGGUUUCCGCCCUUUAGUGCUGCAGCUAACGCAUUAAGCACUCCGCCUGGGGAGUACGGUCGCAAGACUGAAACUCAAGGAAUUGACGGGGGCCCGCACAAGCGGUGGAGCAUGUGUUUA
rnacentral:rRNA from 2 species